UACGUAGGUGACAAGCGUUGUCCGGAUUUACUGGGCGUAAAGAGCGCGCAGGCGGUCGUUCAAGUCGAGUGUGAAAGCCCCCAGCUCAACUGGGGAAGUGCCUCUGAUACUGGUGGCCUCGAGGGAGGUAGGGGCGUGCGGAACUUCCGGUGGAGCGGUGAAAUGCGUAGAUAUCGGAAGGAACACCGGUGGCGAAAGCGGCGCGCUGGACCUCUUCUGACGCUGAGGCGCGAAAGCCAGGGGAGCGAACGGG
rnacentral:rRNA from 1 species